UGCAUAGGAAUCUACCUAGUAGUAUAGGAUAGCCACUAGAAAUGGUGGGUAAUACUGUAUAAUCCCUGCGGGGGAAAGAUUUAUCGCUACUAGAUGAGCCUAUGUCAGAUUAGCUAGUUGGUGGGGUAAUGGCCCACCAAGGCUGUGAUCUGUAGCUGGUCUGAGAGGAUGAUCAGCCACACUGGAACUGAGACACGGUCCAGACUCCUACGGGAGGCAGCAGUGGGGAAUAUUGGACAAUGGGCGCAAGCCUGAUCCAGCUAUGCCGCGUGAGUGAGGAAGGCCUUAGGGUUGUAAAACUCUUUCAGUAGGGAAGAUAAUGACGGUACCUACAGAAGAAGUCCCGGCAAACUCCGUGCCAGCAGCCGCGGUAAUACGGAGGGGGCAAGCGUUGUUCGGAAUUAUUGGGCGUAAAGGGCAUGUAGGCGGUUUGGUAAGUUAAAGGUGAAAUACCAGGGCUUAACCCUGGGGCUGCUUUUAAUACUGC
rnacentral:rRNA from 1 species